ACAAACAGGGCAGACUAGAUUAACCGAAAAUCUGAAACCAAAACCUCCCGGCUCCCGUGGCACGGCGCAUUGCGCUUAUUGCGCAUGCCUCGGGCUCGGCUCCUUCCCCGGCCACGGCAGCCGUCGCCGCCGUUCCCCCAGAUCUAUACCUGCCCCUUCCCGCUCCGUUUCUGAAACUCACCCUUCUCGCUCUUCUACGGGAAGCAGAAAUGGCCAUCUCCUCCGCCCUCUCCUUCCUCUCCGAUCGCAAGCGCCCCAUCGCGAUUGCCGUCAUCCUCUUCAUUCUCCUCUCCUCCCUCUUCCUCCUCCUCAGCCCUGCCCCAUCCGCCCUCCCUUUCUUCUACUCCCCCACCGCCCGCUUCUCCUCCUCUUUCUCCCCGAUCGCCGCUUCAGCGCCGCCCCAAACCCCAAUUCCCGUCUCCGCUGAUGCAUCUCCGCCCCAAACCCCAGUGGGCGCAUUUGGCGGGAGCGGCAGCAACUCCGCUGAUCCACCCCCAGCGGACACGGCUGCUCCUCACGGCGAUGCCACCGCCGCCGCUGUCCACCUCCACCAACCAGACCACAGCCCACCGCCUCCUGCCGCUGCCGAAGUGAGUGCGUCGGUCGACAAAAAGGAGAUCGCCACCGUCGUCUCGGGCGAACGAGGUGGAGACGAGGGAGGUGAAGGCGGCGGCGCGGGGGCGGAGGAGGUGCUGUCGUGGGAUUUGUGCGAGGUGGGGAAGCGGGUGGAGCCUGCGGACUACAUACCGUGUCUGGACAACGUGAAGGCGGUCAAGGCACUCAAGUCGACGCGGCACAUGGAGCACCGGGAGCGGCACUGCCCCACGGAGCCGCGGCCGAGGUGCCUGGUGCCGCUCCCCGCGGGGUACCGGCUUCCCCUGCCGUGGCCGCGCAGCCGUGACAUGAUUUGGUAUAACAACGUUCCUCACCCAAAGUUAGUGGAAUACAAGAAGGACCAGAACUGGGUUAGGAAGUCUGGUAAUUAUUUUGUUUUCCCUGGAGGUGGAACUCAAUUUAAAGCAGGUGUGACUAGAUACAUUCGAUUCAUUGAACAGAUCAUGCCACAAAUUAACUGGGGAACUCAUACAAGAACUGUGCUGGAUGUUGGAUGUGGUGUUGCCAGCUUUGGUGGAUACUUGCUUGACAGGAAUGUCAUUACUAUGUCUUUUGCCCCAAAAGAUGAGCAUGAAGCUCAGAUACAAUUUGCGCUCGAGCGGGGAAUUCCAGCAUUGUUGGCAGCCAUUGGAACACAAAAACUUCCGUUCCCUGAUAAUGCAUUUGAUGUGAUCCAUUGUGCAAGGUGUAGGGUUCACUGGUAUGCUGAUGGUGGAAAACCAUUGUUGGAGCUCAAUAGAGUACUCAGACCUGGAGGAUAUUACAUCUGGUCUGCGACACCUGUCUAUCGUCGUGGCAAAAGAGAUGAAGAGGACUGGAAUGCGAUGGUUACUCUGACUAAAUCGAUUUGCUGGAGGACAGUUGUCAAAUCUAAGGAUGUUAACAAGAUUGGUGUUGUUAUUUACCAAAAGCCAGUCUCAAAUUCUUGCUACAUUGAGAGGAAAAAUAAUGAACCACCUCUAUGCACAGCAAGAGAUGACCAUUCUCCUUGGUAUACUCCUCUGGAUAGUUGCCUCUUGUUGCCUGUUGUGUCAAGUUCAGGUGAAGGAAAUGGUUGGCCCAUUUCCUGGCCUGAAAGGCUUAACAUGCGAUAUCCAUCUAGAUCUGAUAAUUCUUCUACUCAGUUUUCGCAAGAGAAAAUCGACUCUGAUACAAAGCAAUGGAGUGGCCUUGUUUCCGAAGUAUAUUUCAGCGGCUUUGCAAUUGAUUGGUCUAGUAUUCGCAAUGUUAUGGACAUGAAUGCUGGUUUUGGAGGAUUUGCAGCAUCACUCAUUGAUCGACCUCUCUGGGUUAUGAACGUUGUACCCUUUGAUCAGCCAGAUACCUUGCCUAUCAUUUUUAACAGAGGUUUGAUUGGGGUAUAUCAUGACUGGUGUGAAUCUUUUAAUACAUAUCCACGAACCUACGAUCUUCUUCAAAUGAGCUAUCUCCUUCAGAGCCUCACAAAUAGGUGUGAUAUUAUUGAAGUAGCAGCGGAAAUUGACAGGAUACUUAGACCUGGUAGAUGGUUUGUGUUACAUGACACUAUAGGAGUGAUUAGAAAAAUGGACCAAGUUCUUCGCUCUUUGCAUUACAAGACUGCAAUUGUGAAGCAGCAACUUCUUGUUGCCCGGAAGAGUUUCUGGCGCCCUGGCAGUACAGGUUCUUAGUUGUGGCUAUUCCUGCUUCUCCUUAGUUGAUUGGUAAACAAAAUGACAACCUUUCGAUAAAUUUUGAUUUCAUUGAUUCUUCAUAUAGCAUAGAUGACAGUCGGUAGUUCCCAUGACAUGGAUUGGCUUAUCGAACUUUUCUCGGUUCGUUUGCAGAUAGUGCAACUUUUCCUUUGAUUUUGCUGAGUAGCAAAUAGCUUAGUGCUAACAAGUUUGUGAAUGCUGGAGUAUGGAAGGGUUUCUUUACCAUGGUCGCCACCUGUGCCGGGGCGAAAUCUAGAGAGGAAAGGACCCGGUGUCCUUGUAUCAAUCACACAUAUUUCUGACUUGGUGUUUGGUGUCACACACUAAAGAUAGAUGAAAUACAUCAAAGCAAUUUUUUUGGA